GAGAUAGAGGCGCAAAAAUUAUUAGUAACAUUAUUGAGUUAAGCACAGUGAGGUAAUGUGAAAGGAUUUUUUGCCGAAGUGUACGGGUAAUGCUUUAAUACCGUAUGCUGGUGUUGCAUAGAAUAUAUGUAAUACUGUCACAUUUGUGGAGCGCUAUCA
rnacentral:ncRNA from 1 species